AUACCACAGGCUUGAAGUACAACUGGCAGUUAAACUUCAGUAUUUUAUGCAUUUAUUUACUUAUUUUACAUUGCCUUUCUCCUCCUGUAUACAGAGUCACUUCACAAAGAUACGAAGAUCUUGGUCUGCCCUGGUUUUAAUGACACAGGUAGGAUCCCGGUCAAGAACAAAAACCUGUCACAGCUCCAAGCCUUUAAAUUUAGUCUCUUGGGUAGUUCAGCUAGCAGUGUCAAGACCCAAAGAGAACAGAAGACACUCUCUGACAUGUGAAAGCUAAGGUAUUUUUACCUUUUUUUUUUUUACAGCCCCUCCUCCUCCCUCCCCCCUUCUUGAAUUAAUUCUCUAUCUUUGAGAUGCUGGUAGCAGCAGUCCACUUGAUUCCUGAUGGUACCACAGUGCCUAGGGAAAAAUACAGGUACAGACUUCUCAUCUUCCCUCCUCUCCCCAGGCCAUGAAAACAGGAAGAGUUUUCUGCACUCACUAAAACAACGGGUCUAAGGAGACUUUCGCUUAUUAUGCCAGGGGAAAAAGAAAUCCUGUCAUCAGUAUGGCCAGAAAUAAUAGUUACAUCUGUCAGAUAGUUUGUGAGAGAUUGAUGCAAUCUCUGUUUUUUAGCUUUUAGUUAGCAUCCUGGCUUUUAGUUUUCUCACUUUUCCAGCCCUGGCUAAAAGUUCCUGUACGUAUCAUGAUGGAUUAAUUCAGCCCUUCACACAGAUAUGUGUUACACACGCUGUUGCCAUGUGCCCUCUCCUCAGAAUGUCCAGCACAGAAGUAGGAUAAUCUUUGUCCACAACAUAAUUUUUAAACAAUUUUCAGAUAGCUGUUUCCCUGAGAGGUCGGUGUUCUGCCUGUACCCACCGACCUGAGCGAUCCCACUUGUCACCAUUCCAGAGAUUUCUUUUGUUUGUUGCCUUAAGCAUUCUUUCUUGCCUACAUUGCAAAGUUUCAGUAGCCCCGGAAAUCAUAUCCCCUGUGAAGGGUUGCACCCUCCCGCACAUUUCAUAGCAUAGCAACAUAACUCUAUUGCCAUGGAUCCCGGACAUGGGCAUGCAGAAUUUAUUCAACUAAUCAAGUGGUGUAGGGACACGAAUUCCAACUACAGUCAGCUUGGAGCAUAGAGUGGUUACAGCUAAAAAUGUUCUACAAGCACUUCACAGGAAGGCAAAACAAUGAGGUCUAUUUUAUUUAUUUUGAAUGGCCAAUGUAAUCAGCAUGGUCAUAGUAAACUAGAAGGCAGAAUUCAUCCCUAAACUGUUUCCCACUGAGGUACCACACCUGCAUACAGUAUUUGAGAGCUAGGAGUUCUUUCUUUACAGUAUUGGCACGUGGUACAAGUUUAUUACCCAGCCUUUACUCAAAAUGUGAUUAUUAUGCAUUGCUAUCUUUUGCCCCAAAGCAAAAUACACUGUAAAAGAAAGAUGCACUUGGUUGCUCCCUGUGAAACAGCUGGUGUGACUGGUGUCAAAUGGAAUAAAUGCCUGUUGGUCUGUUUUUUGCCACUUAGCAAUGAAUGAAAACUUAUCAAAUCUCAGCAGGUAACUGGAGCUCUCUACAAAGGCCAUCUAUAAAGCAAAGAUGUAGGUAUUCUAGAAUAAAACAAACCCAAUAAAAAGUAAAGCAUCUUUUCAUCCGAGGAAGAAAUGUGUUUGUCUGUAUUCCCUGACUCAAAGCACCUUUGGCUAGAUGUUUGGGACUGUUUGUUGAGCAUGUUAUUCAAAAGAUACAAUUAAAAUAAGAGGAGGUUGGGUUUGUCUCUGCUUUUAGAUGCAUGUUGAAGCCCUGAUAUAAAACUUACUUGUUAAAAAGGUCCAAAAUCUUGCACAGCGAAGUCAAAUGGAUUCCACAGUGAGCAAAUCUGCUUGGCAGUAACUUGCAGAAAGAGACUUCUUGUAGAAAAAUCCCAAAUGGGAAGGAAAGACACUUAAAACAUUGCUUUGAAAAGUAUAAA
rnacentral:lncRNA from 1 species